CAGUGGGCGUGGCUUCGCCGGGGAGGGGCGGGGGCGGGGCGGGGCCCGGUUCGCCCGGUGGGCGGGACUUUGCCCGCGGUGGGGCGGGGCCGGGCGAUGGGCGGGGCCAAGCGGAGCCGGAGUCCCGCCCCGCUGCGCGCGGGAGCCGCCCCGGGCCCGAUCCUGAUCCUGUUCCUGAUCCUGAUCCCUAUCCUAGUCCUGGUCCUCAUCCUGCUGCCCACCAGCUCCCUCACCGGAUCCCAGUAAAGCCCCCCGGCCCCUGGGUUGCUGGAACAGCGGCAGGAGGGCAGCGGGACCCUCCAGCUGAGCAGGGGGACCCCCAAAGGAGCCUUUGCACCACGGGGAGCAGUUUAUUGACCGUUUAUAGUCGAGGAAGCAACGUAUCAAAAGGAGUCUGCAAAGUCUUCGCAGGUUCUAUUACCAGUCAGAGGGUUUAAUGGAUAACGAGAUAGAUAAUGAGAUUAAUAAGGUGCUGUGUGAUGCUCACCUGCCACGGGCUGCAAGGAAAUUUGGAUCCAGCGUUGGAAACUAUAAAUGAGAAGAUUCUGACUUCUAAGAACCAGCAGCACACUGACACCUCAUUCCCCUGCGCAGCCAAGCCCCUGCUCUGCUCUGAAGGAAGAUGGAGGCCUGGUGGCUCCGCCAGCUCCCCUGUCCCAUCACAGAACAGGCGGGAGGAGGUUGGGCUGGGGAGGCUGAGCUCAGCCUAAACACAGCUUCUUCUAGAGGGGGUAACCAAGAUGUUGCCGUUGGUUCUGUUGUAUGUUUAUUUAUAUGUUAUUUGGUGCUAAUGAAAACCAAAUGUUCGGAAUCUAUUCAGUUCUUUAACUUU